CCUGGCUCCGUAUGAACGCUAGCUACAGGCUUAACACAUGCAGGUCGAGGUGCAGCAUGGUCUUAGCUUGCUAAGGCCGAUGGCGACCGGCGCACGGGUGAGUAACACGUAUCCAACCUGCCGUCUACUCUUGGACAGCCUUCUGAAAGGAAGAUUAAUACAAGAUGGCAUCAUGAGUCCGCAUGUUCACAUGAUUAAAGGUAUUCCGGUAGACGAUGGGGAUGCGUUCCAUUAGAUAGUAGGCGGGGUAACGGCCCACCUAGUCUUCGAUGGAUAGGGGUUCUGAGAGGAAGGUCCCCCACAUUGGAACUGAGACACGGUCCAAACUCCUACGGGAGGCAGCAGUGAGGAAUAUUGGUCAAUGGGCGAGAGCCUGAACCAGCCAAGUAGCGUGAAGGAUGACUGCCCUAUGGGUUGUAAACUUCUUUUAUAAAGGAAUAAAGUCGGGUAUGGAUACCCGUUUGCAUGUACUUUAUGAAUAAGGAUCGGCUAACUCCGUGCCAGCAGCCGCGGUAAUACGGAGGAUCCGAGCGUUAUCCGGAUUUAUUGGGUUUAAAGGGAGCGUAGAUGGAUGUUUAAGUCAGUUGUGAAAGUUUGCGGCUCAACCGUAAAAUUGCAGUUGAUACUGGAUAUCUUGAGUGCAGUUGAGGCAGGCGGAAUUCGUGGUGUAGCGGUGAAAUGCUUAGAUAUCACGAAGAACUCCGAUUGCGAAGGCAGCCUGCUAAGCUGCAACUGACAUUGAGGCUCGAAAGUGUGGGUAUCAAACAGGAUUAGAUACCCUGGUAGUCCACACGGUAAACGAUGAAUACUCGCUGUUUGCGAUAUACUGCAAGCGGCCAAGCGAAAGCGUUAAGUAUUCCACCUGGGGAGUACGCCGGCAACGGUGAAACUCAAAGGAAUUGACGGGGGCCCGCACAAGCGGAGGAACAUGUGGUUUAAUUCGAUGAUACGCGAGGAACCUUACCCGGGCUUAAAUUGCAGAUGAAUUACGGUGAAAGCCGUAAGCCGCAAGGCAUCUGUGAAGGUGCUGCAUGGUUGUCGUCAGCUCGUGCCGUGAGGUGUCGGCUUAAGUGCCAUAACGAGCGCAACCCUUGUUGUCAGUUACUAACAGGUUCCGCUGAGGACUCUGACAAGACUGCCAUCGUAAGAUGUGAGGAAGGUGGGGAUGACGUCAAAUCAGCACGGCCCUUACGUCCGGGGCUACACACGUGUUACAAUGGGGGGUACAGAGGGCCGCUACCACGCGAGUGGAUGCCAAUCCCCAAAACCUCUCUCAGUUCGGACUGGAGUCUGCAACCCGACUCCACGAAGCUGGAUUCGCUAGUAAUCGCGCAUCAGCCACGGCGCGGUGAAUACGUUCCCGGGCCUUGUACACACCGCC
rnacentral:rRNA from 1 species